CUUUAAAAGCUAUGAACAAUUUCUUCAGUGUAGGAAGCUUAGGCAGGGGAGGCUCAAAUGUUUCAGUCGAAAGGAUUCAAGUAUCUUAUGUGAACUUUUUUAACACAACCAAUGGUGCUAGGAUCAAAACUUGGCAGGGAGCCACAGGUUAUGCAAAAUCAAUGUCAUUCGAGAAAAUCAAAUUCAACAAUGUACAAAAUCCUAUCAUAAUUGAUCAAAACUAUGGUGCUAAAGCCAACAAUUAUACCAUUCAGCAAAAUGCAGUGCAGAUUAGCAAUGUGAGAUAUGCCUACUGUGCUGGAACUGCAAAGACAGAUAUUGCUAUCAACUUAAACUGCAGCCAGACUGUCCCUUGCACUGACAUCCAAUUCGACAAUGUUAACAUACCAGUGACAU